GACGAACGCUGGCGGCGUGGAUUAGGCAUGCAAGUCGAACGGUAGGAUCCUUUCGGGGAUCUGAGAGUGGCGAACGGGUGAGUAACACGUAGGUGAUCUACCCUCAAGACGGGGACAACCCAGGGAAACUUGGGCUAAUACCGGAUGUGAGCUAUCGCGAGAUAGUUUGAAAGGUGGCUUCGGCUGCCGCUUGAGGAUGAGCCUGCGUCCUAUUAGCUAGUUGGUGAGGUAACGGCUCACCGAGGCAGUGAUAGGUAGGCGGCCUUAACGGGUGGUCGCCCACACUGGGAUUGAGAUACGGCCCAGACUCCUACGGGAGGCAGCAGUCGAGAAUAGUCUACAAUGGUCGAAAGACUGAUAGUGCGACGCCGCGUGAACGAAGAAGCCCUUCGGGGUGUAAAGUUCUUUUAUAUGUGAGCAGUGACACCCAUAUUAAUAGUAUGGGUGUAGAGAUAUUAGUCAUAUGAAUAAGCAACGGCUAACUCCGUGCCAGC
rnacentral:rRNA from 1 species